rnacentral:misc_RNA from 1 species
AACGCACCUUGCGCCCCGUGGCUUUCCACGGGGCACGCCCGUUCGAGUGUCACGUUAACCCUCGCCAACCGGACAGUAAUGUUUCGGGGAAGCGGAUUUGGACGCUGCCGGUCGUGAGAUCGGCUCGUCUCGAAAUGCAUUAGCGGAGUGAGACGCAAGCGCGACGUUGAUAAUCGUCUACGCCUCGUGAGCGUCGAGCCUCGCUCAUAAUCGCCGUGAGGCAAUUUUUCACAGUUUGACCUCGAAUCGGGUGGGACUACCCGCUGAACUUAA